AACGCGAAGAACCUUACCAGUCCUUGACAUGUCCACUAUGGGUUUGAGAGAUCAAAUCCUUCGGUUCGGCCGGGUGGAACACAGGUGCUGCAUGGCUGUCGUCAGCUCGUGUCGUGAGAUGUUGGGUUAAGUCCCGCAACGAGCGCAACCCUCAUCUUCAGUUGCCCCCGGGUCAGGCCGGGCACUCUGAAGAAACCGCCGGUGACAAGCCGGAGGAAGGUGGGGAUGACGUCAAGUCCGCAUGCCCUUUAUAUCCAGGGCUACACACACGCUACAAUGGCCGGUACAACGGGUUCCGACACGGCGACGUGAAGGCAAUCCCUUAAAGCCGGUCUCAGUUCGGAUUGCAGGCUGCAACUCGCCUGCAUGAAGUCGGAGUUGCUAGUAACCGCAGGUCAGCACACUGCGGUGAAUACGUUCCCGGGCCUUGUACACACCGUAGUAC
rnacentral:rRNA from 1 species